rnacentral:rRNA from 1 species
UACGAAGGGGGCUAGCGUUGUUCGGAAUCACUGGGCGUAAAGCGCACGUAGGCGGAUUUUUAAGUCAGAUGUGAAAGCCCCGGGCUUAACCUGGGAACUGCAUUUGAUACUACUGAGCUUGAGUACGGGAGAGGAUAGUGGAAUUCCCAGUGUAGAGGUGAAAUUCGUAGAUAUUGGGAAGAACACCGGUGGCGAAGGCGGCUAUCUGGACCGUAACUGACGCUGAGGCGCGAAAGCGUGGGGAGCAAACAGG